GACGAACGCUGGCGGCGUGCCUAAUACACGCAAGUAGAACGCUGAAGAGAGGAGCUUGCUCUUCUUGGAUGAGUUGCGAACGGGUGAGUAACGCGUAGGUAACCUGCCUGGUAGCGGGGGAUAACUAUUGGAAACGAUAGCUAAUACCGCAUAAAAUGGAUUAUCGCAUGAUAAUUCAUUGAAAGGUGCAAAUGCAUCACUACCAGAUGGACCUGCGUUGUAUUAGCUAGUUGGUGGGGUAACGGCUCACCAAGGCAACGAUACAUAGCCGACCUGAGAGGGUGAUCGGCCACACUGGGACUGAGACACGGCCCAGACUCCUACGGGAGGCAGCAGUAGGGAAUCUUCGGCAAUGGACGGAAGUCUGACCGAGCAACGCCGCGUGAGUGAAGAAGGUUUUCGGAUCGUAAAGCUCUGUUGUAAGAGAAGAACGAGUGUGAGAGUGGAAAGUUCAC
rnacentral:rRNA from 1 species